rnacentral:tRNA from 1 species
GGGCAAUUAGCUCAGCUGGUUAGAGUGCCGCCCUCACAUGGCGGAGGUCACUGGUUCGAUCCCAGUAUUGCCCACCA